rnacentral:rRNA from 1 species
AGAGUUUGAUCCUGGCUCAGAUUGAACGCUGGCGGCAGGCCUAACACAUGCAAGUCGGACGGUAGCACAGAGGAGCUUGCUCCUUGGGUGACGAGUGGCGGACGGGUGAGUAAUGUCUGGGGAUCUGCCCGAUAGAGGGGGAUAACCACUGGAAACGGUGGCUAAUACCGCAUAACGUCGCAAGACCAAAGAGGGGGACCUUCGGGCCUCUCACUAUCGGAUGAACCCAGAUGGGAUUAGCUAGUAGGCGGGGUAAUGGCCCACCUAGGCGACGAUCCCUAGCUGGUCUGAGAGGAUGACCAGCCACACUGGAACUGAGACACGGUCCAGACUCCUACGGGAGGCAGCAGUGGGGAAUAUUGCACAAUGGGCGCAAGCCUGAUGCAGCCAUGCCGCGUGUAUGAAGAAGGCCUUCGGGUUGUAAAGUACUUUCAGCGGGGAGGAAGGCGAUGGGGUUAAUAACCUUAUCGAUUGACGUUACCCGCAGAAGAAGCACCGGCUAACUCCGUGCCAGCAGCCGCGGUAAU